GAUCCAGUGUUUCUCCUGCAGCUUGGAUGCUCAGACUCUGUAGGCAUGCAUGACCUGCUCAACUAACUGCCUACUCUCAAAUGCCUACAAUGGCUAAACCACAAGAUCCAAGCACCAAGAUUCACAAGUGCCUAAGGAUCUCUUUCUUGGACAAAGUGUUUGCAUGUAUGUUUGUGGGAGUUAUUUUUAUCUUCCCAUCAGUAGUGGCUCUUCCUGAUUCCCCACCUUCCUGCCGGCCAGUCAGUGAGUCUCUGAUCACAUUCACCUGCGGCUCGUUAGAUAAUCAGGCUGUCUACUUAAGGCUGGAGCCACAUUGUUGCACCAGGCAGGUAUACACUUGGACUCUGUCAUAGUUUGCUGUUCAUGUUUUGGCUUGGAAUAACUUUCUAUGGAGACCUCUCUGUGUUCUCUGAACCCUGUGAGCAUAAAAUGACAUUAUCUUUGCAAUCUACUUCUGUUUCUUGAUCCAUAUUUGCGUACUUUAAUCCUUUCAAUCCUCAAUCCAGUGCUCCAAGCAGAGAUGCUUCUUUUAAUUUUUUACAUUUUUAUUUUCUUGACAAAAUGUAGCAAAUGUAGGCUGACUGUAGCCCUGCAUACUUGUGACACAUUCUCCAAAAAUAAUAAUUUGAUGAGUGAAAGACAAUUUGAAAUUUUUAUUCUUCUUGAUCUUUAUUAAUGACCUGCUUUGGGGUAUAUUGCAAUUUGCAUAUCAUCUGGCUCAGCCUGAAAUGUUACACUUACACGUUUCGUAAUACCCCCCAAAAAAGAAUAUUAGACACAGUUAAUUUUACAGAAAAAAAAGUUACUCAAAA